rnacentral:rRNA from 1 species
UACGUAGGGCGCAAGCGUUGUCCGGAAUUAUUGGGCGUAAAGAGCUCGUAGGCGGUUUGUCGCGUCUGCCGUGAAAAGUCCGGGGGCUCAACUCCGGAUCUGCAGUGGGUACGGGCAGACUAGAGUGCGGUAGGGGGAGACUGGAAUUCCUGGUGUAGCGGUGAAAUGCGCAGAUAUCAGGAGGAACACCGGUGGCGAAGGCGGGGUCUCUGGGGCCCGUAACUGACGCUGAGGAGCGAAAAGCAUGGGGGAGCGAACAGG